rnacentral:rRNA from 1 species
GUAGAAUUAGUUAUGUUCUUGAAACCCAAAGAAUUUGGCGGUAUUUUAUUCUUUUUAGAGGAACCUGUCCUAUAAUUGAUAAUCCACGAUGGUGAAUUACUUAUUCUGGUAUUCAUUUUGUAUACCUCCGUCAUCAGAGUAUCUUUUUAGAGUAAAUAUUCUAAAUAUACUAAAUUAUAAUAUGUCAGGUCAAGGUGCAAAUUAUGGGUAAGUAGAGAUGGGUUACAAUAAAUUUAUUUAUACGGAUUAGUAUUUUUAUUUGUAUUAUGAAGGUGGAUUUAAAAGUAAAAUUAUUCACUUGAUAUUUUGAUUUUAGCUCUAAAAUAUGCACAUAUCGCCCGUCGCUCUUAUUUUAAAAUAAGAUAAGUCGUAACAUAGUAGGGGUACCGGAAGGUGUUCCUAGU